AGAGCAGUGGAAUGAGCCAAAAGGCUGAAGGCCAAGGGACGUGGGCCACCCAUGCAGCGAAAUAAUCCCCAAGAAAUGCACUGCCUGGAAUGGAAAUGAGAGGAAAGUGAACAGUCAUUCCAGGGCAUCUACUGAACGUUACUGACAGUCAUUCAGUCUAAAGUCUGCCUGAUUCUCAACACUGCAAAUCUCAGAUCUGGGAUAUAUUACAUAGAUCACAGGAAACGAUUGAAAUCAAGCGGUCGGGGCCUGUUCCUGUCAAGCUCUGGGUCGUAGGCAGUGAGCUCCGUUCUUAUUUCGGUUCCAACAGGAAUGAAUAAUUAAUAACCUAGUUUUGAAUGGAAAGUACAUUUCAAUGGAUGGGUAAUGCUUUCAGCAAGGCCUCUGAGGGUUAUUGUUUAUUUCCUUCUUUCCUUCUUUCCGAAGUGGGACCCUGGAUGAGAAGAAAGAAACAAUAUUCAAAUGUACGGUGGCCUACAUUUUUGACCCAUCAGAGACGCAUGUGAAUAAAGAAAAGCAGAAUUGAACGUUGACAUUGGCAUCCACCAUACACUAGACACUCUGUUCUGUGUCUUGUAAGCACUUUAAUGAUCUUCGUGGCAACAGUUUGGUACUUGGCAUUGGCCCAGUUUUUCAGAUGAGGACACUGGGCUCAGAGAGGUUAAGCAACUUGCCUGAAGUCACACAGCUCGCAGCUUCGAGAGCCAAGAGCUGGGACCGGGUAUGCCCACCUUCAAAGCCUGGGUUCGUGCUCUUUCCACCAUGACAUUUCGUAGACUCGCAGACCCCCCGUGUUGGGAAUGAUCUGGGGGGUCAUUUAGGUGAGCCCUCGAAAUGAAGGACGCAUGAUUCUGUUCGUCUCCAUGACGCUGAAGGACAAACAAGUAGAAGUUGUGCCUGAAAUCCAAGCUGCGGCCUAGAAGAAAUGAGACCAAAGCUUCGGGCUGCAGACAGAGGGCAACGGACAAGUACCGGUGUGGGCAGGAUGGUCACAACGUCCCUAAGGUGGGUGUGUUCAUGUAAGUAAGACUCAGAUGGGGAGCUCCUACCCCCAAGUCCUCUGCACUGUGUCGCCCACAGGUCCCAGAAGAAGUCGAGUGAACAGCACCCUCUCACUUCGAGAGAAAGUUACCUAAGGGGAGUGAGGGUGGGGGACGGGCCUCAGGCCACACACAUUGGUGGCAGAGCCCGAAAUAGAACUUGAGGCCGCGCGACUCCGUCGAGCCCCAGGGCUGCUUGUCCUCGCUGCUUCACAUGCCUCUCACCAUGACCAGCUUUGUGUGAAUUUGGGGAGGAAACCCAAAACCAGGUUUCGGUUUUCAUUACAUACCGGAAACUUGGCCUCAGAUCGCUUAGAAGUUCACGGUGGCUUGUGAACCUUUGAAGCAGAGGGAGCCAGGUUCCUGCCAUGCUCCUGCCCCUCAGCUGAGGCCGGUGGGGAUUUAUGGGUGUGAGCGGAAAGUGGGCACCGGGCGCCCGUCCAGCCGUGCUCCAGGUCCACGCUGGCCCAACGGCACGCAGGGCUCCCGGGAGCCUCCGCGAAGUGCGCCCGGCGUGGGGUUUCUCCCAGUUCCCAUCAGGAACAGCCUUCUUCCUUCUUCAGGAGAGAAAAGGAGGGGAUGAUUUAGGAGGUGUGCGCAUUCAUUUGCAAAUGAAGUUAUGGAAGUUGCUAGUGAGAUUUAUAUUGGUAAUUAAGUGAUAAUGGCUGGGUAAGGCUGCUGGAGUUGGAUUUCCCGUAAAAUAACUAAGGGACCCAGGCCCUGUGAAGCAAUGUCUUAUUGUUUAGCAUUUGGGGAAACAAUUUCGGUUUCUGGGGUACUGUAGACCCACUAACUAGGAACUCCUUAAAGCCCCCCCUGGAGGACAGGCCACCAGCUGGCUCCUUUGCCUAGUCCCCAAAGAUUGCUGGUCUCUGGGCAGGGCGUGUGGUAGAUGAGCCCCGCUCUGGGCCCGGGGCUGGAAGAGGAAGGACGUGAGACCGUGUCUUUCGUGGGCACAGCCAAGCAGACAGUGCUUUGUUAUGUUUUGUUUUCAAUCAUCAAAAGCCUCUGAAUAACGAGUCUGAAGCCAUCCAGUCUGACCAAGGGCACCAAGGAAACAAUGAAAACAACCAGGUACAAACACCACGCAAGGGUCCUGCAGGAAUUCAGUCCAGACUACGAUGUCGAAGCGCAAUGGCUGAAGCUGGCUGUCCACGAGGAUGGGGGAGAAAAACAAAAGUCUUGGUCAAAUCCAGACGGGGUAGUCAGUCCUCGAUGAAUUAAUAGUUGCCUCUUUUCUCUAUAUAUUAUUUUAUAUUCUGAAAGAAAGACUCACUAAUGUACCUAGGUGUGCUGGAAGGAGGUAUGUCUCUUAGAAAGGAAGGGGCUGUGGUUUUCUGAUUUCUUAUUUUCUCCUUUCCUUUAGUGGAAGUCAAAAUAAAUAUUCCGUCUGAGGACUCGGCGUGUAGAAAACACUUUAGGAAAUAAUUGAGUGUUUUGAACGUUCAAGGUGCCGCCUGCUUCAUGGGAAGUGCUGAAAAGCUCUGCUUCGUUUCAUGGUUGUCCUCUUUCGGGGUUUUAAAACACUCUUUCAGCUCUUUCGGUUAGCGGAGAGAGGGCUAGAGGGCUUGAGCGCCGGCAAGCUGAGAGACAGGUUUUUAAAAUCCCGGUGCACCUUGAUUCAGUGAAAGAAGGAGCAGGCCAAAAAUCUUGGUUCUUGAAUGACUGUAAAGCACAGUGAUCUUCCAGACGAUCUACCUGAAGACAUGUAACGGAAGACAGGAGGAAACCACGGCAGGCAGGAGUCUGAGGGCUCAGACGCAUUUGAGCGCGGAGCCUCCCCUCAAAAGCAGACGGUGUGGCAGACGCGUCCUCGUGCACCGCACACGCAUGAGCCCCUUAGUACGGAACAAACGAGCCGUCCAGCCAGCUUACAUGAUCUUCUGUGUCUUUUCUUCUGUGGCCACAAGAACAGCUUUACCCGUGACAUGAAAGAGGGGAGAGAGAGUUCCCAGCACCGGCCCCUGCAGCCCGACGGCCGGUCACCUGGGUCAGUCCCUGCAUCUCUUGGUCUCGGCUCCCUCACCAGCGAUGACGUCUCAUCCUCUGGAGGAAGGUUAUGGGGUAGAACUGUGUCCCUGAAGAUGUGUCAAAUGGGACUUGAGGUGCAAAUAGGGUCUUUGAUGACGCAGUCAAGUCAAGACGAGCUCCUGCUGGACAAGGGUGGGCCUUGGAUCCAGUAGGACUGGAGUCCUUCGAAGGGACAGAGAAACACCCACCAAGAAGUAUGGCCGUCAUGUAGCGAGGGUUGCACCCAUUACCAGAAGCCCCACGAGGUGAGGAAGAAUUCUCCAAAGGCUACAGAGAGAGCAGGGUGCUGGCAACAUCUUGAUUUCAGACAUGGAGCUUCCAGAACCACAAGACGGCUCUCGGAGUGGUGUCUCCCGGAGGUGCCAGAUCCAGGGAAGCUGUACAGUGGUCUCUAAAGCGUCGGGGAGACUGCCCGCGGCCCGCUUCCUACUUUCUCCCUGGGUUUGGUCUCACUCAGGAAGCCGGGGCAGGCGGGAUGGGGUCCCCCAGGCUGCCACUGACGUGGGGUCAAACUGGGGAGAUGUGAGAGAAAAGCUCCACAAGGAGGGCAGCCAGUUAGGACCUUUGUCAAGAGGAGGCAAAGCAUGGCCUGGGAACAAGAGAGCACAUCUCAGAGGCCAGGACAAAGCUUAGCCUGGCCAGGGCCGCCCGAGACUUCCGGCCCCAAGCAGGCGACGGGGCUCCCCCUCCAAAUGUAACUGGACGCAAGAACGACCCUCAACAUAACGUGCAGACUGUUCAGGUUUGCCGAAAUCAAAACAGCUUCAUGCCAGGCUUUUCUGCCAAUGAGAUUCUCAGUAUGUUCGUGGAAGGGGGACUUUCGUUCCCUCCCUCCCUCGCUUUUUCCUUGUCUUCCUUCUCUCCCCACUUUUUGUCCUUGUUUGCAGUUUUCCGGAGCAAGAGCAUAAGCAAUUUAUGCUGAAGUCUGGAAAAGGAUCCCCCCCACCCCCGCCCCACUUAGAGGGCUCCUCUGUAGGAUCUUCUAGAUCCCUCCCAGCCUGGAGGUUCUAUGAGUCUAUGAAAUGCGCUGAUGAAGGAUAGCAAACCCCAAACCCAGGCUUUGAAGUCAGACAGACCUGGUUCCUGCUCCUCGCUCUCAUGUGCACCUGCUGUGUGACCUCGGGGAAGCAGCUGAACCUCUCUGAGCCUAGGUUCAUCAUCUGAAAAACCGGGCCAGUGCCAACGGCCAAAUCACGGCUGGAAGGAUGAAGUGGGAAAAAUAUUUAUUAAAACGCACAGCAAGGACGGAAUUGGAAGAACAGCUCAGAACAUCACUUGCUGGGGAAGCGGGAGGAGGCCUGCCUGAACCAGAGAGGACUCAGCACUGUGGCUGAGAGGAGCUACUUGGGUCUGCUCCUUUUCCAAGGCCUGGCCCUACUUCCUUUCUCGUCUGCCACCAUCGUGCUGUUCCUCCGAGGCUGCACAUCCCGGAAUGCGAAGAUUUUCCUGAGUUUUGCUGCCUCUUACUAGACGGAACCUAUCCCAGCUCUCUAUGGACUUUCUGACUGUUGCUUCUUCUUACUUGCUUAGUUCAUUCAUUCCACGAACAUUCUGGGGGGUCCACAGGGCACCAGGCCCUGUGCUAGGGCUCCCCAACCCCUGACCCCUGUCCAUCUGCCCCAGGAUCCUGCUGCUGGCUCUCCCCAGGCUCCCGAAUAACCACCCACCUCCAAUUCCUCCCUCCCUCCCAUCCCCGAGGCGGGCUGCGCCACAGGGUACCUUCACCCCCCGCCAGGAACAAAUCCUGACACUCUGCCGAUAUUUGUUGAUUAAAUGAACACAUAGAAAA